GGCUCUAACCUGCACUCCCCUAGUUGGGGGGUGAAUUCCUAGAGAGCAGGGCUCUAUGUGUGGGGCAAUGCUAGUCAUCACUGUAGCUUGGGACAAAUUCACAGCC
ensembl:ribozyme RNaseP_nuc Nuclear RNase P